rnacentral:rRNA from 1 species
AGUGAACGCUGGCGGUAGGCCUAACACAUGCGAGUCGAACGGCAGCACAGUAAGAGCUUGCUCUUACGGGUGGCGAGUGGCGGACGGGUGAGGAAUACAUCGGAAUCUACUUUUUCGUGGGGGAUAACGUAGGGAAACUUACGCUAAUACCGCAUACGACCUACGGGUGAAAGCAGGGGAUCUUCGGACCUUGCGCGAUUGAAUGAGCCGAUGUCGGAUUAGCUAGUUGGCGGGGUAAAGGCCCACCAAGGCGACGAUCCGUAGCUGGUCUGAGAGGAUGAUCAGCCACACUGGAACUGAGACACGGUCCAGACUCCUACGGGAGGCAGCAGUGGGGAAUUUUGGACAAUGGGCGCAAGCCUGAUCCAGCCAUACCGCGUGGGUGAAGAAGGCCUUCGGGUUGUAAAGCCCUUUUGUUGGGAAAGAAAAGCAGCAGGUUAAUACCCCGCUGUUCUGACGGUACCCAAAGAAUAAGCUCCGGCUAACUUCGUG